UAAGACCACUAAUAUAGGCCAAACCAAAAGAUAGCACAUAACAUAUAAUUAAUCCAUAUAUUGUCCAUAUGUAUGUAGUAUAAAUCCAAAUGUCUAACAGAAAGUCCUAGGAGAGCAACAGUAAAUCUGGAUUUCAUAGAAGAUAAGAGAAACUAAAUUUCAUUAUUCUAACACACAAAGAGGUACAAGUUCGCGAGCGUGUACCUAAUGCUCAAAGUGAAAUGUAGAAUACCCAAGCAAAAACGAAUGGAGCUCAAUCAGUGAAAGAAGAAGCACACAGCAGCAAAACCAGAUUCUUCUUCUUUGUAGAAUUUCUAAAGCUUUUGCAACCCAGAUUUUCGAAGCUCUCGCGGAUUCAAUAAUCAACCAUCAAUUUUAGAAAGUCUAAAUGCUCUUACAAUCCCAGAAAAUAACCAGCCACUUCACUGAAAUUCUUUUUUAGAAUAGUUGUGUCAGGGAUGAGUGAGGUUAGAGAAAGGAAUUUUAGAGGCAUUCCGUUCUCUAUUGCUUUCUAUCUCGGCGACGACUAGGAUUCAAGGGGGAGGGGCGUUGUUCGUUGGUACCCCUGUUUUGAGAAGAGGAUGAUGAACAUUGAGAAGGAGCGCCUUUUGUAAAGGCUAGGGAUCUAAUUUUCUGGUGUUUAAAUUGUGUUGUUAUACGUAGUGGUAGGGUAAAGGGUAAUGGGUAUUUGGGCGAGGAGAUU
rnacentral:lncRNA from 1 species